rnacentral:rRNA from 1 species
CACCGCGGUUAUACGAGGAGCCCAAGUUGACAGCCGCCGGCGUAAAGCGUGGUUAAGAUAACAUAAGUAUUAAAGCCGAACACAAGCUAUACUGUUAUACGCACUCGAAAAUGGAAGCUCAAUUACGAAAGUAGCUUUAUUGAUCUGACUCCACGAAAGCCAGGGCA